rnacentral:rRNA from 1 species
GACGAACGCUGGCGGCGUGCCUAAUACAUGCAAGUCGAGCGAAGUUUUUCUGGUGCUUGCACUAGAAAAACUUAGCGGCGAACGGGUGAGUAACACGUAAAGAACCUGCCUCAUAGACUGGGACAACUAUUGGAAACGAUAGCUAAUACCGGAUAACAGUAUUUCUCGCAUGAGAGAUAUUUAAAAGUUGGUUAUGCUAACACUAUGAGAUGGCUUUGCGGUGCAUUAGCUAGUUGGUGGGGUAAAGGCCCACCAAGGCGACGAUGCAUAGCCGACCUGAGAGGGGGAUCGGCCAAACUGGGACUGAGACACGGCCCAGACUCCUACGGGAGGCAGCAGUAGGGAAUCUUCCGCAAUGGGCGAAAGCCUGACGGAGCAACGCCGCGUGAGUGAAGAAGGAUUUCGGUUCGUAAAGCUCUGUUGUUAGGGAAGAAUGGAUAUGUAGUAACUAUACAUGUAAGAGACGGUACCUAACCAGAAAGCCACGGCUAACUACGUG